rnacentral:rRNA from 1 species
AACGAACGCUGGCGGCGUGCCUAACACAUGCAAGUCGAGGGAGAAAAGGGGCUUCGGCUCCUGAGUAAACCGGCGCACGGGUGAGUAACACGUAGGUAACGUACCCUUGAGUCUGGGAUAACCAGUCGAAAGACUGGCUAAUACCAGAUACGACUGCGGGAGCUCAGGCUUCUGCAGUGAAAGAUGGCCUCUACUUGUAAGCUAUCACUCAUGGAUCGGCCUGCGCACCAUUAGCUAGUUGGUGAGGUAAAGGCUCACCAAGGCUGAGAUGGUUAGCUGGUCUGAGAGGAUGGCCAGCCACACUGGGACUGAGACACGGCCCAGACUCCUACGGGAGGCAGCAGUGGGGAAUAUUGCGCAAUGGGCGAAAGCCUGACGCAGCGACGCCGCGUGGGU